rnacentral:rRNA from 1 species
AACGAACGCUGGCGGCAGGCUUAACACAUGCAAGUCGAGCGGGCCCUUCGGGGUCAGCGGCGGACGGGUUAGUAACGCGUGGGAACGUGCCCUCUUCUACGGAAUAGCCUCGGGAAACUGAGAUUAAUACCGUAUACGUCCCGUAAGGGAGAAAGAUUUAUCGGAGGAGGAUCGGCCCGCGUUGGAUUAGGUAGUUGGUGAGGUAACGGCUCACCAAGCGGACGAUCCAUAGCUGGUUUGAGAGGAUGAUCAGCAACACUGGGACUGAGACACGGCCCAGACUCCUACGGGAGGCAG